CUUUCUGUCGUGGCUGAGCAGAGUUGCCAAGCAGUCAGCGUCUUCCACAGAAGAACCUUUUCAGGUGUACUAGCUGACAGUUCCUACCACGGCACGUCAGGGUGCAUAAGCUGUAUCAUGCCAUAUUGUAUACCAUGGUGGACUGUGUGACAGGAACUACUGAACUAUAAUGACUUCAGGAGAGGAAAGACAGCAACUACUGCUCGACAUGUUCAAGUUGAAAUACAAUUCUUGUCAGAAACUUGAAAUCAGAGAUUCCAGUCUUUUACCAGAGUGUGAAGGUCAUCUCUUCUGUAAGAGACAUAGUCUGAGCCUUGAAGGACAGAGCCCUAACAACAGGUUCCUUGACCAGCCUAUCCUAAGUAGGAGGUAACAGGCCCUCUACUACCUGCAACUUUUGAAUUUGUGCAAGAGUAUCAGCCCAA